CCUACGGGUGGCAGCAGUGGGGAAUAUUGGACAAUGGGCGAAAGCCUGAUCCAGCCAUGCCGCGUGUGUGAAGAAGGCCUUCGGGUUGUAAAGCACUUUCAGUGGGGAAGAAAGCCUUGGGGCUAAUAUCCUCGAGGAAGGACAUCACCCACAGAAGAAGCACCGGCUAACUCCGUGCCAGCAGCCGCGGUAAUACGGAGGGUGCGAGCGUUAAUCGGAAUUACUGGGCGUAAAGCGCGCGUAGGCGGUCUGAUAAGCCGGUUGUGAAAGCCCCGGGCUCAACCUGGGAACGGCAUCCGGAACUGUCAGGCUAGAGUGCAGGAGAGGAAGGUAGAAUUCCCGGUGUAGCGGUGAAAUGCGUAGAGAUCGGGAGGAAUACCAGUGGCGAAGGCGGCCUUCUGGACUGACACUGACGCUGAGGUGCGAAAGCGUGGGUAGCAAACAGGAUUAGAUACCCCUGUAGUC
rnacentral:rRNA from 1 species